GGGGUUGUGGCUCAGUGGUACAGCUCUCACCUAGCAUGUGUGAGGCACUGGGUUUGAUCCUCAGCAUCACAU
rnacentral:tRNA from 1 species